rnacentral:rRNA from 1 species
AGUGAACGCUGGCGGUAGGCCCAACACAUGCAAGUCGAACGGCAGCACAGUAAGAGCUUGCUCUUACGGGUGGCGAGUGGCGGACGGGUGAGGAAUACAUCGGAAUCUACUUUUUCGUGGGGGAUAACGUAGGGAAACUUACGCUAAUACCGCAUACGACCUACGGGUGAAAGCAGGGGAUCUUCGGACCUUGCGCGAUUGAAUGAGCCGAUGUCGGAUUAGCUAGUUGGCGGGGUAAAGGCCCACCAAGGCGACGAUCCGUAGCUGGUCUGAGAGGAUGAUCAGCCACACUGGAACUGAGACACGGUCCAGACUCCUACGGGAGGCAGCAGUGGGGAAUAUUGGACAAUGGGCGCAAGCCUGGUCCAGCCAUACCGCGUGGGUGAAGAAGGCCUUCGGGUUGUAAAGCCCUUUUGUUGGGAAAGAAAAGCAGCAGGUUAAUACCCCGCUGUUCUGACGGUACCCAAAGAAUAAGCACCGGCUAACUUCGUG